CGUCACCAUGGGAGAAGAAGGUGUGAUGUGUUGUGCUGCUGCUUGGGAGGGACGCCAUGGGCAUCCCUACUCUGCUUCUUCUCUUCCCCUAACUCCAUCAAGCUGCUGAGCAUUGAUACGUGUUGUUCGGUGUACCUCGACAUGAUUUCCAGGACAUGAAAUCGGCAACACGAUUUGCAGAGUACAAGGGUGGGCUCAUCGAGGUGUGCGGUGGUAGGCUCGCUCGGCCCCAGCGUCUUGUGUUGAACGGACAUGCCGCCUCUUCGGCGUCGGCUA